UUUUAAAUUUUGACACACAUGAAGCAGCAGCCCCAACCCACUCUCCAAACAAUGACAAAAUGAAUCAAAAAGAAGGGAGAAAAUGCAACAGACCAGACUGGGAUUCGAAUCUGGGCCCCUGAAUCUCUAGUCAGGUGCUCUACCAACUGAGCUAUCUGGCCACCGGCGAUCGAAUAUGAGCUUCUACAAUCCCUGUAUUCUGAGGUUUUGGUUGUACACCAUGAUCAGUGGCAAUUCUGAGCAACCAUUAUGUGGCACCGAUUGAAUGAAGACCAGGCUGAUGUAUGACCGAUGGGGACAGAGAACAAUAGAACUCUCCAGAAAACUACAGAAUUAACAAUCAUCAGGGUCAUGGUGGAAUCAAUGGGGAGCGAGAUUGUGCAUUCACUGUGUCCCAAGGCUACUGAUUAUUACCACAGUGUGCACAGAUACUACUCCGGAAGCAGGGAUCCAUGUAUUAAUGACAUUAUUCAGAAUCCCCAUGAAAAUUGUGCAUAUCAUUAUAUCCUACAUUCUGCAUAAUUCAUUUACCCUGCAGAAUUGUGACAGUUGUCAUUGCUGCUUUCAACAGUUACCUUGUUACUAUAUCAACUGUUACCAGUUUCCAUGGUUACCGUGAUGGUCACUAUAACGACUGUUGAUUUUCAUGUGGAUGGUCACUUGUGUAGCUCAUCUUGAUAUCUUCAGCAACUGAAAAAGUCAUACAGUUUGAUAGCAAUAUAAUGCCUGCAGAAAAGUUAUGAAUGAUACUGUUUAAUAUAAUAAAGAGCGAAGCCCAGACCGAUUAAAUACGAUACAAAUAGUUUCACAACUCAUUUACAAUCUCUAUAAAAUACUAGAGCAGUGUAAACUAAUACUUUCUGUAAGUUAUCAAAAUUGUAGUCAUAGAUCAUGACUUGUAAUGUGCAAGUCUACAAAAAACCAAUGUUUUUCUGCUUUUUAUCUGAUUGUGUUAACUUUUGGUAUUGAUGAGCAGAUUUUGACAACUGCAACAAUGUAUUUAUGACCAGUUCUGCAGUUUUAUGAAUUUUUGUUCAAAAGUAGACAAAAUAUUUUCGAAACGUACAUGCUACAGGUUAUUAAUGAUAGUAUGUUGAACCUUGUUACAGCAGGAAACUCAAUGACAUAAGUCACAGGACUGGCUACACUCAGAAGUUGCCAGUCCUGUUCAAAAUCUGCCAGUCCGGAUUUAUGUUUAUUAUAUUUACAUGAAUGAAUUUACUAGUAAAUCUGAUUUGUGACA